rnacentral:rRNA from 1 species
CGAGCACGCGCGUGUGGCAUAUCAAUAAGCGGAGGAAAAGAAACUAACAAGGAUUCCCUUAGUAACGGCGAGUGAAGCGGGAAGAGCUCAAAUUUGAAAUCUUCAAGGUUCUACCUUGACGAAUUGUAGUUUAUAGAAGUGUUUUCUGUUAGUGGAGUGGCAAAAGUUCUUUGGAAUAGGACAUCAUAGAGGGUGAGAAUCCCGUAUUUGGUCAUUCCUCCUAGCGUUGUGAUACACUUUCAACGAGUCGGAUUGUUUGGGAAUGCAGUCCAAAAUGGGUGGUAAAUUUCAUCUAAAGCUAAAUAUUGGCGAGAGACCGAUAGCGAACAAGUACCGUGAGGGAAAGAUAAAAGAACUUUGAAAAGAGAGUUAAACAGUACGUGAAAUUGUCAAAAGGGAAGCGUUUGACACCAGUGUUGUUUUUCCGAAAAUCAAUUACGAAUGUUUUGUUUUUGAGGAGUUAUGACUUCAUCGGCUUGCUCCUUUCUUUACGAAACUUUCUUAAUGCACUUUUCGGUUAACAAGUCAACAUCAAUUUCUUUUGUUGUAAAAGGGUAUGAGGAAGGUGGCUUUCUUUUCGGAGAAAGUGUUUAUAGCCUUGUGCCUCUACAAUCGGAGAGAUUGAGGUCUGCAGCGUAGAUCCUUCGGGGUUAGAUACGUUUGUGCUAAGUUAUAGCUUUUCAUAGACAACUUGUUGACUAUGUUUAGUCUUGUAGCUUACUCGCUUAUGCUAUUUUACCUACGCUUAGGAUGUUGAGUAGCGACAUACGCAC